rnacentral:hammerhead_ribozyme from 1 species
AAUUUGUUGAGGAGUCCCACAACAGGACGAAACGGCCGUCCAGU